GAUGAACGCUGGCGGCGUGCUUAACACAUGCAAGUCGAGCGAGAAAAGUUCUUCGGAGCUUUUCUAGCGGCGGACGGGUGAGUAACACGUGGGCAACCUGCCUCAUAGAGGGGAAUAGCCUUCCGAAAGGAAGAUUAAUACCGCAUAACAUUGUUGAAAGGCAUCUUUUAACAAUCAAAGGAGCAAUCCGCUAUGAGAUGGGCCCGCGGCGCAUUAGCUAGUUGGUGAGGUAACGGCUCACCAAGGCGACGAUGCGUAGCCGACCUGAGAGGGUGAUCGGCCACAUUGGAACUGAGACACGGUCCAGACUCCUACGGGAGGCAGCAGUGGGGAAUAUUGCACAAUGGGGGAAACCCUGAUGCAGCAACGCCGCGUGAGUGAUGACGGUCUUCGGAUUGUAAAGCUCUGUCUUCAGGGACGAUAAUGACGGUACCUGAGGAGGAAGCCACGGCUAACUACGUGCCAGCAGCCGCCGUAACAC
rnacentral:rRNA from 1 species